GACUGUGAAUCUUAGACAAGGAAAAAAGAGCUGUGAAUGAAAAGCCCUAUAUGCGUCAUGCGUCAGUUGGAAUGAGACCUGCGCAGUGAUGUGGGAGGGACAUCUCUCUCCCACAUCACUGGACCACGAAGCGUUAAAUACCGCUAUGAAUUCCAAGAUUUCAUUGGUUAGAACUACUCACGUGAUAUAUGUGUUCGUAUUGGUCAAAUGAUUAAGAAUGACAGAGCGGGAUAUUUAAAUACCAAUAUUGUAUGCAAAGUGUCGUUUCAAGAAAACAAGUCAGCUGACUGAGGAUGAUGGAUAAAUAUUAAUUUCUUGUUUAUCUUUGACAAUUUUUAUGAUAGAAAUAAAAGUGUGGUAGAAAAUCAAUAUGUAUAUUGAAAAACGGUAUUGAUUAAAAAACACUAUUUAUUCGUUUCUACUAGUCUUCUUUCUAGACUCUACCUAGUCUCAUAAAAUAUUUCUUUUUAUCUCAUAAAAAAUAUAAACAAUUAUUGUAUAGUUAUAAUAUUCUUUUAAUUUAUUUCAGUUGUUCAAUACAAACACGGCAGUACUAGAAUAUAUCUUAUAAAUUAAAUUAUAAAUGCAUGAAAAUUAAAAAGAGAUAAUUUACAUAAAAGUUAAUAUAGGUACUGGAUAUGGGGAAAAGUAAUUUAGGGGAAAUUAUAUGUUAUAUUAUAUAAUAAUUAUGAUUUUCUUCGGCAUUUUGUGAAGUAUAGGGCAUGUUGUGUCUAGUGUCCUUUUAAAAAGUCUGAAAUUUCAUUUACAUUUGGAUUUUUAAACGUAUCACUUAUUAAUAUGUUGCUAAGAUUUUUGUUCCUUUGUGGAGAAAAACCGUUUCUGUGGUUCAAUGUUUUUACAUAUUGAAACCUUUAAAACACUUCAAUUUUUUUAUGCAAAUUUUUAUUAAAUUUUUUGUUGCAUGUGUAUAUUUGACAAAACAAUCUAAACAUUGCUGUCACUUAAAUUAUCUAAAUCGGGUGUAUGUAUUUACAAGCAUCGUCAAAUCUUCAUGAUCUUUUUUAUUGCAAAUUAAAUUGAUGUUACUUAAAUCCUUAAAGUCGUGGUUUCACUAUCAAAUAAUUUGAUCAAACAGUUUGAGCAAACUCAGGAAGUGACGUCACAACUGCAGUUUGUUCAAAUUAUAAAAAUCUAGUCGUCACACUAUCAGUUUGAUCAAAGUUUGUAUUGAGAGUUGUGGUAGUAGGUACAUAUAUCAAAACCCACAAGCAUUCCAACACUUUAGCGAAUAAUAAGCCCCAAACUCUCUAUUGUAGAAGGGAGUUAGUAACAAACCAAAAAGAAAUCAAGUCCUGAUUAGGAAAAAUCUAGAAAACAAACAAGAGUAACUAUUGGCUACAAAAGCUGCUGUACAAAAAUCAGUGUGCAUGCUGAAGAAAGCAACGCAGGAAAGGAUAACGAAACAAUUUUAACGUGUAGCUAGGCCAUGACUGAUAAACAUAUACAGGGGCUCACAGCUUAAAUGAUGCAGUCACUACUCAAUAAAGCUAGCUUGUGUCAGUCGCUCAAUAUUUAUUAGAAAAAACUUACAUACUGAAGGUAGGUAAGUUAGUAUGAUGAGUCUUCUAAAAUAGCAUAAGCUAUGUUUUGGGUUUCAAAUAUGCAAUAAUUAACACCCUCAGCGCCAGUGUAUCCUUUUAGAUAUACACUGUCCUCAACACUGUGUACUAAAAAAGAUACACAUGGCUCGUUGUGUUCGAUCUAUUGUGUCACCUAAAAGGACACACUUUCCUAAGUUUUUAUAUGUAGAGAAUAAUGCUAUGGCCUGAGCCAAUUUCCUGGUAUAACUGGGUUUGGCCUUAUGACAUAAAAAGAUAGAUUGUAUGUAACUAGAAAUUCGUAUGAAAAAUGUUGCCAUGUAUGGGCCAAAACAACUUGCUCCAACUCAUUAUGCAGGGAAAGAUUCAAGGAAAAGGAAGCAUAGGGAGAUGCAGAAUAUCUUGGCUGCGCAACUUGAGAGAAUGGUACGGAUGAACAUCAAAUGAACUUUUCAGAGCAGUCGUCUGCAAAGUCCUAAUAGCUAAGAUGUAUUGUCAGAGAAAUAGCAAAUAAUCCCAAAAAAGUGCACCAAAAUUGAGAGAUGAGGUGGAAACACAGUUUGGAAAAAUAGGUAACCCUAAAACAAUUAAACGGAUAUUACAAAAGAAUAAUCUACCUACAUAGCUGAACUGCAAGAAAUAAAUCUUUUAUCAGCCAAAGAAAUAAGCAACAAGGAGUUUUGUUUUCUUUAUUAAUAUUCUCCUUUAAAAGUUUACAUCAUUUUAGCUGAUAUCAAAAUCGUACACAAAAUAAUUAAAGAACUAUUGUUAUUUAAGUAUGGUAUAUUUGAAACCCAAAACAUAGCUUUGCUAUUUUAGAGGACUUUAGUUAGUAACUUACUGUCAGUAUGUAAUUUUUUUUUCUUAUAUUGGGUCACUGACACAAGCUAGUUUUAUUGAGUAACGACUGUAUCAUUUCAGAAUUGAAGCUGUGAGUCACUGUAGGUGCAGUACAAUAAUUUUGCUUAUACAAAUUAUCAGUAAUAAUAUUUAUUUACAUCAAAAUAAAAAUUCCAUCACAUAAUGAUGUCUAACAGCUGAUUGUCAUUUGUCUUUAUUGCUUAAUUCUCUGACCAAUACGAACACAGAUAUCACGUGGGUAGUUCUAACCAAUAAAAUCGUGGAAUUCAUAGCGGUAUUUAACGGCUCGUCACUGGACCUGCGCCUGCCUGCCUAGAAUUUAUGAGUGUUUAUUAUGACAUGCGUUUGGCCCAGUGAUGUGGGAGGUUUCCCCUUCCCCCUCUGAGCAGUAAAAUAUCGCGCAGCAACAGUCUGGCCAUCUACUAUACUAUUAUUCUCAUGUGGGACCCAUUUUCGCGCUGAUUUUUACUGCUCUUACGGCGGCCGUAAAAAACCGCCCAUGUGGCCAAACGCAUGACAUAGAGUGAUGCGCAUGCGCAUGACGCAUAUUGUUAUUGUUUCAUUUUUCAUUGUUGAUUGUUGGAUUGUUGCUGUUUGUAUUGAAAUCAAGUUUAAUUUAAUAAUAAAAUGGAAGUAAAACAAGAAUUUAAUGAGGAGACGUGUAAAAUAGAAAUAGAGUCUAACGACUUAGAUAAUGAUGAUGCUCUUCUAGAUCUAGAUGUCUUUAAAUGUGAAAUUAAGGAAGAAUCAAAUAGCAAAAGUACACAUUGCACAUGUGAUUAUUUAGACUUAAAGGAAAUUCCUACAAAUGAAAUACACCAAGAGAGAAAUAAACUAAACCCGUUUGAAGAAAACCAACAAACUGAAAAAGGCUUUAAAUGUGACAUUAAGGAGGAAUCCAAUAGCCAAAGUACACAUGACGCAUGUGAUUAUUUUGACUUAAAGAAAAUUCCUAGAAAUACUGAAAUACACCAAGAUGGAAAUAAACUAAACCUAUUUGAAGAAAACCAAAAAACUGAAAAAGGUUUUACUCAGGAGGAGAAUAAAAUAGAAGGUAUGGAAACAGUUUGUGAACAUUCAUCACGUAAACAACACUAUACUAGUCGACACGCCAAGGGAAAAACUGUAAAUAAAAAUGUAAAAGUACAGACUAGACAGGGAACUUACAAAUGUAAGAUUUGUUUCAAACAGUUUUCUAAAACACAUUAUUUGAAACAACAUUUAAGAAGGCACACUGGAGAAAAACCUCACAAGUGUGAAAUUUGUUUUCAGCAGUUCAGUCAAGCAGGACAUUUGAAAGAACAUUUGAGAGUGCACACUGGAGAAAAACCUCACAAGUGUGAAAUUUGUUUUAAGCAGUUUAGUCGAGUAGGACAUUUGAAAGAACAUUUGAGAGUGCACACUGGAGAAAAACCUCACAAGUGUGAAAUUUGUUUUAAGCAGUUUAGUCGAGUAGAACAUUUGAAAAGCCAUUUGAGAGUGCAUACUGCUGAAAAACCUCACAAGUGCCAAAUCUGUUUUAAGCAGUUUAGAGAAGCAGGUAGUUUAAAAACACAUUUGAGAGUGCACACUGGAGAAAUAUUAUACAAGUGUGAAAUCUGUUUUAAUCAGUUUAGUCACGCAAGUAGUUUGAAAAGACAUUUAGGAGUACACACUGAAGAAAGACCUUACAAGUGUGAAAUCUGUUUUAAGCAGUUUAUUAACACAAGUGAGUUGAAAAUACAUUUGAGAGUGCAUACUGGAGAAAAACCUCACAACUGUGAAAUUUGUUUUAAGCAGUUUAGUCAAACAAGCGAUUUGAAAAUACAUUUGAGAGUGCAUACUGGAGAAAAACCUCACAAGUGUGAAAUUUGUUUUAAGCAGUUUAGUCAAACAAGCAAUUUGAAAAAACAUUUGAGAGUGCAUACUGGAGAAAAACCUCACAAGUGUCAAAUCUGUUUUAAGCGGUUUAGUGAAGCAAGUAAUUUAAAAUCACAUUUGAGAGUGCACACUGGAGAAAAACCUCACAAGUGUGAAAUUUGUUUUAAGCAGUUUAGUCGAGUAGGACAUUUGAAAAGCCAUUUGAGAGUGCAUACUGCUGAAAAACCUCACAAGUGCCAAAUCUGUUUUAAGCAGUUUAGAGAAGCAGGUAGUUUAAAAACACAUUUGAGAGUGCACACUGGAGAAAUAUUAUACAAGUGUGAAAUCUGUUUUAAUCAGUUUAGUCACGCGAGUAGUUUGAAAAGACAUUUAGGAGUACACACUGAAGAAAGACCUUACAAGUGUGAAAUCUGUUUUAAGCAGUUUAUUAACACAAGUCAGUUGAAAAUACAUUUGAGAGUGCAUACUGGAGAAAAACCUCACAAGUGUGAAAUUUGUUUUAAGCAGUUUAGUCAAACAAGCGAUUUGAAAAAACAUUUGAGAGUGCAUACUGGAGAAAAACCUCACAAGUGUCAAAUCUGUUUUAAGCGGUUUAGUGAAGCAAGUAGUUUAAAAUCACAUUUGAGAGUGCAUACUGGAGAAAAACCUCACAAGUGUCAAAUCUGUUUAAGCGGUUUAGUGAAGCAAGUAGUUUAAAAUCAAAUUUGAGAGUGCACACUGGAGAAAAACCUCACAAGUGUGAAAUCUGUUUUAAGCAGUUUAGUGAAGAAAGUAGUUUGAAAUUACAUUUAAGAGUACACACUGGAGAUAAACCUUACAAGUGUGAAAUCUGUUUUCAGCAGUUUAGUCAAGCAGGAAAUUUGAAAAAACAUUUGAGAGUACACACAGGAGAAAAAGCUCACAAGUGUGAAAUCUGUUUUAAGCAGUUUAGUCAAGCAGGACAGUUGAAAAGACAUUUGAGAGUGCACCAUGGAGAAAAACCAUACAAGUGUCAAAUCUGUUUUAAGCAGUUUAGUCACGCAGGUAGUUUGAAAAUACAUUUAGGAGUACACACUCUGUUUUAAGCA
rnacentral:misc_RNA from 1 species